GGUAUCAUAGAGGGUGAGAAUCCCGUGCAUGAUCAGACCAAGAUACUUAAUAUUCGUUUUCUAAGAGUCGAGUUGUUUGGGAAUGCAGCUCAAAUUGGGUGGUAGACUUCACCUAAGGCUAAAUAUCAGCGAGAGACCGAUAGCGAACAAGUACUGUGAAGGAGAGAUGAAAAGCACUUUGAAAAGAGAGUUAAAUAGUACGUGAAAUGUUGAAAGGGAAACGAUUGAAGUCAGUCAUGCUAGUGAAAAUUCAGUUUGACGGGUUUUGGGUUUAGGAGUAAGAGGUAGGGUCAAACCAUCUCUCUUUUAAACUUGGGGUUUGUCGGAUGCACUUAUUCUUUGGCAGGUUAGCGUCGAUUU
rnacentral:rRNA from 1 species